rnacentral:lncRNA from 1 species
UGUGGGGUCCUUAGAAGUUAGCCCUUUCAUCAUCGUCCUCAGCUUCCUCUUGACUUAUCGAGGGGCACCGUGUGGAGUCUCCAGAGGAUUAGCCUUUUCAUCAUCAUCCUCAGCCCCCACCCAACUUGUUGAAGGAUGUCAGAUAGCUAGGUGAAGAGACGAGGCUUGACCUAAUUAUCUUGAGCUUAUGUUUUAGCUAUCC